rnacentral:rRNA from 1 species
CGAGGGGAAUUGAAACAUCUUAGUACCCUCAGGAAAAGAAAUCAAUAGAGAUUGCGUCAGUAGCGGCGAGCGAAAGCGCAAGAGGGCAAACCCAGUGCUUGCACUGGGGGUUGUAGGACUGCAAUGUGCAAGAGGUAAGUUUAGCAGAACAUUCUGGAAAGUAUAACCAUAGAGGGUGAUAGUCCCGUAUGCGAAAAACAAACCUUAGCUAGCAGUAUCCUGAGUAGGGCGGGACACGAGGAAUCCUGUCUGAAUCCGGGUCGACCACGAUCCAACCCUAAAUACUAAUACCAGAUCGAUAGUGCACAAGUACCGUGAGGGAAAGGUGAAAAGAACUGAGGUGAUCAGAGUGAAAUAGAACCUGAAACCAUUUGCUUACAAUCAUUCAGAGCCCUAUGUAGCAAUACAGGGUGAUGGACUGCCUUUUGCAUAAUGAGCCUGCGAGUUGUGGUGUCUGGCAAGGUUAAGCAAACGCGAAGCCGUAGCGAAAGCGAGUCUGAAUAGGGCGCUUAGUCAGAUGCUGCAGACCCGAAACGAAGUGAUCUAUCCAUGAGCAAGUUGAAGCUAGUGUAAGAACUAGUGGAGGACUGAACCCAUAGGCGUUGAAAAGCCCCGGGAUGACUUGUGGAUAGGGGUGAAAGGCCAAUCAAACUUCGUGAUAGCUGGUUCUCUCCGAAAUAUAUUUAGGUAUAGCGUUGUGUCGUAAUAUAAGGGGGUAGAGCACUGAAUGGGCUAGGGCAUACACCAAUGUACCAAACCCUAUCAAACUCCGAAUACCUUAUAUGUAAUCACAGCAGUCAGGCGGCGAGUGAUAAAAUCCGUCGUCAAGAGGGAAACAACCCAGACUACCAGCUAAGGUCCCUAAAUCUUACUUAAGUGGAAAACGAUGUGAAGUUACUUAAACAACCAGGAGGUUGGCUUAGAAGCAGCCAUCCUUUAAAGAAAGCGUAAUAGCUCACUGGUCUAGUGAUUUUGCGCGGAAAAUAUAACGGGGCUAAAGUAAGUACCGAAGCUGUAGACUUGCACACAACUUAGAUUAUUUAAGUUUAGAAUAUGAGAAACUAAGUUAUAUGUUUAGUUAUAUUUUUACUGAUUUUUAUAGAGUAAAGAUAGAAAUAAAACUUAGUAAAAUCAGUAAAAAUAUUCUUAGACUAAAGUUAAGUAGUUUAAGUUGUGUGCAAGUGGUAGGAGAGCGUUCUAUUUGCGUCGAAGGUAUACCGGUAAGGAGUGCUGGAGCGAAUAGAAGUGAGCAUGCAGGCAUGAGUAGCGAUAAUUAAUGUGAGAAUCAUUAACGCCGUAAACCCAAGGUUUCCUACGCGAUGCUCGUCAUCGUAGGGUUAGUCGGGUCCUAAGUCGAGUCCGAAAGGGGUAGACGAUGGCAAAUUGGUUAAUAUUCCAAUACCAACAUUAGUGUGCGAUGGAAGGACGCUUAGGGCUAAGGGGGCUAGCGGAUGGAAGUGCU